GAUGAAGAACGUAGCGAAAUGCGAUAAGUAGUGUGAAUUGCAGAAUUCAGUGAAUCAUCGAAUCUUUGAACGCACAUUGCGCCUUCUAGUAUUCUGGGAGGCAUGCCUGUUUGAGCGUCAUUAAACCUCUCUCAAGUAUGAUUACUUGGAUGUGAAGGAAGAGUACCUUAAACUUAAGGAGUGUUCUCCUUUGAAAUUGAUUAGCAGAUGGUAAUGUUAUUAAAUCCCUGAUGUUGUAAGAAAUAACAGUGGUUUUGUAGACUAUUAUCUAGCUUUAAAUUAUAAUUUUUAUUAUGGUUGACCUCAAAUCAGGUAAGGAUACCCGCUGAACUUAAGCAUAUCAACAAGCGGAGGA
rnacentral:misc_RNA from 1 species